rnacentral:rRNA from 1 species
UCGCAUCUGUGCAUGCAGCAUAUCAAUAAGCGGAGGAAAAGAAACUAACAAGGAUUCCCCUAGUAACGGCGAGUGAAGCGGGAAGAGCUCAAAUUUGAAAUCUUAAAGGGUUUCCCUUUACGAAUUGUAGUUUAAAGAAGUGUUUUCUGUUGAGGUUUUGGUAAAAGUUCUUUGGAAUAGGACAUCAUAGAGGGUGAGAAUCCCGUAUUUGACCUUUACUUUCAACUUUGUGAUACACUUUCAAAGAGUCGGAUUGUUUGGGAAUGCAGUCCAAAAUGGGUGGUAAAUUUCAUCUAAAGCUAAAUAUUGGCGAGAGACCGAUAGCGAACAAGUACCGUGAGGGAAAGAUGAAAAGAACUUUGAAAAGAGAGUUAAACAGUACGUGAAAUUGUCAAAAGGGAAGCGUUUGACACCAGUGUUGUUUUUCUGAAAAUCAAUUAAAGAACUGUUUAUGCUAAGCUGUUUAGACUUUAUCAGCUAUCUGUUUAGUUUUGAGCUUUUCUUUAAUGCACUUUUCAGUUAACAAGUCAACAUCAAUUUCUUUUGCUGUAAAAAAGCUUGAGGAAGGUGGCUUGAGAUUCGUCUUAAGUGUUUAUAGCCUCUUGCCUAUGCAGUCGGAGAGAUUGAGGUCUGCAGCGUAGAUCCUUCGGGGCUAAAUGCAUUUGUGCUAAGUUAUAGCAUUUUAUAGACAACUUGUUGACUAUGAUUUGUCUUGUAGCUUACUCGCUUAUGUUAUUUUACCUACGCUUAGGAUGUUGAGUCAUCACACAUCUCU